rnacentral:lncRNA from 1 species
CGCCCGCGGGCGGUGUGCCCUCUGGGCAUGCGCGGCGCUGGGGUCCUGCCCGCAGGCAGCGCAGCCUCUCCGCGGUGGCUCCGGCCGCUGAGUCACGGGUCGCCCACGGUGGCCGUGCACCUGAGCGCCCUCUCUGGUGUCCCUGACUGUCCAUAUGCCUUAUUCUUUUAUUUGCUCGGGUGAGGAGGGGCCAGGGGAGAAGCAGCACCCCCACCGUCCCUCUGAGUUUUGGCUGGACACGGACCGUGCCCCCGGGAUGGUCGGCAUCCGCUGUCAGAUGGCCACGUCCACGAGAAGCCCGUGGCAGACGGUGCUGUUCACGCGGCGCCGUGUGGCCUCGAACCCUCCCUGCGGUGCCCCGGGGGGCCGUCACCCAUCCAUCUGGGGGAACCUGGCCCGCCCGCCCUCCUGGGCAGAGCUGAUGUCUCCGCUGCCCUUGCCCUGGCCUGGCCAGCCCCGGCCUCUGGUCCUCUUGCGGCGACCUGCCCACUAAGCGCCAGGCCCGUCGGCCAGGUCCUGCGUGAAGGCGCUGGGGCCGGCGCCAAGGAUGUGGUUGUGGCCUGAGCCCCGGGAGCUCUUGUGCAUGCUGACCAUGUUGCUGCUAUUGGGCUCGUACCCAGCUCCGUGCCGGCGGAAGAGGCCGCGGACGGUGGCCUGGAAGCCGCUGGUGACAAAGCAGUAGACGAUGGGGUCCAUGCAGCUGUUGAGGCUGCUGAGGGUCACGGCCACAUGGUAGGCCACGAGGCUGGCGUGGUGCGGCACAUCCGGCCACAGCGCCACGGCCACCUGGCGGGCGUGGAAGG